rnacentral:rRNA from 1 species
GACGAAGGAUGCAAGCGUUAUCCGGAUUCAUUGGGUUUAAAGGGAGCGUAGGCGGACUUGUAAGUCAGUGGUGAAAUCUGUGGGCUUAACCCACAAACUGCCAUUGAUACUGCAGGUCUAGAGUACAGUUGCCGUUGGCGGAAUAUGACAUGUAGUGGUGAAAUACUUAGAUAUGUCAUAGAACACCGAUUGCGAAGGCAGCUAACGAAGCUCUAACUGACACUGAUGCACGAAAGUGUGGGGAUCAAACAGG